UACGAAGGGUGCAAGCGUUAAUCGGAAUUACUGGGCGUAAAGGGUGCGUAGGCGGUUGUUUAAGUCUGUCGUGAAAUCCCCGGGCUCAACCUGGGAAUGGCGAUGGAUACUGGGCAGCUAGAGUGUGUCAGAGGAUGGUGGAAUUCCCGGUGUAGCGGUGAAAUGCGUAGAGAUCGGGAGGAACAUCAGUGGCGAAGGCAGCACUCUGGGACGUGACUGACGCUGAGACGCGAAAGCGUGGGGAGCAAACAGG
rnacentral:rRNA from 1 species